rnacentral:rRNA from 1 species
GUAGGGUGCAAGCGUUAAUCGGAAUUACUGGGCGUAAAGCGUGCGCAGGCGGUUGUGCAAGACAGAUGUGAAAUCCCCGGGCUUAACCUGGGAACUGCAUUUGUGACUGCACAGCUGGAGUGCGGCAGAGGGGGAUGGAAUUCCGCGUGUAGCAGUGAAAUGCGUAGAUAUGCGGAGGAACACCGAUGGCGAAGGCAAUCCCCUGGGCCUGCACUGACGCUCAUGCACGAAAGCGUGGGGAGCAAACAGGAUUAGAUACCCUGGUAGUCCACGCCCUAAACGAUGUCAACUGGUUGUUGGGAAGGUUCCUUCUCAGUAACGUAGCUAACGCGUGAAGUUGACCGCCUGGGGAGUACGGCCGCAAGGUUGAA